CCUGAUCAGCCAUGCCGCGUGAGUGAAGAAGGCCUUCGGGUUGUAAAGCUCUUUCGGACAGAAAGAAAUCGCACGGGUAAAUAAUUCGUGUGGAUGACGGUACUGUAAGAAGAAGCACCGGCUAACUACGUGCCAGCAGCCGCGGUAAUACGUAGGGUGCGAGCGUUAAUCGGAAUUACUGGGCGUAAAGCGUGCGCAGGCGGUUGCAUAAGACAGAUGUGAAAUCCCCGGGCUUAACCUGGGAACUGCGUUUGUGACUGUGUAACUGGAGUACGGCAGAGGGGGGUGGAAUUCCUGGUGUAGCAGUGAAAUGCGUAGAUAUCAGGAGGAACACCGAUGGCGAAGGCAGCCCCCUGGGCCUGUACUGACGCUCAUGCACGAAAGCGUGGGGAGCAAACAGGAUUAGAUACCCUGGUAGUCCACGCCCUAAACGAUGUCGACUAGUUGUUCGGGAAGGUGACUUCUUGAGUAACGAAGCUAACGCGUGAAGUCGACCGCCUGGGGAGUACGGUCGCAAGAUUAAAACUCAAAGGAAUUGACGGGGACCCGCACAAGCGGUGGAUGAUGUGGGAUUAAUUCGAUGCAACGCGAAAAACCUUACCUACCCCUUGACAUGUCUGGGAAGUCUGCAGAGA
rnacentral:rRNA from 1 species